GCGUAUAGAAUCUGCCUUGUACAGGAGGAUAGCCUUUAGAAAUGAAGAUUAAUACUCCAUAAUAUUGGGAAGUGGCAUCACUAUCUAAUUAAACAUUUAUGGGUACAAGAUGACUAUGCGUCCUAUUAGCUAGAUGGUAAGGUAACGGCUUACCAUGGCAACGAUAGGUAGGGGGUCUGAGAGGAUUAUCCCCCACACUGGUACGUGAGACACGGACCGAGACUCCUACGGGAGGGCAGCAGUGAGGAAGUAAUUGGUUCGAAUAGGAGGGCGAACUACUGAACCAACGCCACUGCCGCC
rnacentral:rRNA from 1 species